rnacentral:rRNA from 1 species
CAGUCGCCGCGGUAGAACGUAGGGUGCGAGCGUUAAUCGGAAUUACUGGGCGUAAGGCGUGCGCAGGCGGUUAUAUAAGACAGAUGUGAAAUCCCCGGGCUCAACCUGGGACCUGCAUUUGUGACUGUAUAGCUAGAGUACGGUAGAGGGGGAUGGAAUUCCGCGUGUAGCAGUGAAAUGCGUAGAUAUGCGGAGGAACACCGAUGGCGAAGGCAAUCCCCUGGACCUGUACUGACGCUCAUGCACGAAAGCGUGGGGAGCAAACAGGAUUAGAUACCCGCGUAGUCCCUGUCUCUUAUAC